rnacentral:lncRNA from 1 species
UUGCAUAGUACUGGUUUCCAGUCAUACUGAAUUCUCUGUUUUACAAGUGAACCUUUUUAUUCUUAAAAUGUACCUUGUUUUUUUUUUUUUAGUAUAACUGUUAUAUUUUAUUAAUAUCAAAGGAAUGUACAAUGUAAGUUCUAUAAUAGUAGCUUGUACUAGCUGCUACUCAUUUACAGAUAACCAUCUAUAUUAAGACAACUACCAAUAAGCACAAAUGCCAACUCAGUAUAGGGAUAUCUAUUAGACUAUAACUAAGGAAAACAAUUAAGUUGCCGCAAGCCAUUUUGCCAU